rnacentral:lncRNA from 1 species
CAUGACAUUCUUUGCGUCCAGAAACUAAAAGGCUCAAUGGCCCAGAAACAAACAAGAAGGGAAAUUCAAAGAUCCUUGAGGAUAUCAUCGGCACUGGACACAGUGAAUUCUCCACCCCCUUCAAUAUUUGCAGCUUUCACCUUAAGGUCAUCAACCAAGAGAGCAAACCUCCUAGAACGUGUGCCAAGCCCUUUCUCUUGCAGGUCAAGCUCAAGGCCGAGAGCAUGGGUGUACGUUGCAGACCCAUCAGCUAAGAAUUUGACAUGCUUAUUCUCAGGGUAAGAUUUGGCCCAUGCCUUCAUCACAAAGGGGUCGUUGACUACAAAUGAAUAAGAAACCAAAACUCAAAAAACACGGAAACCAAUCACUUUCUUUUAUUCUUUUAGUUUUCUAAACCUGUAAUUAGUCUGAAUUCCAACAGAAUAUAACAGAUCCAGCUGAUAAGUUACAUACAUAUUAUUUACGCCAACCAAAACUAGAGAUGCAGACUUAAGAACAAUGCGAGUUGAAGUAAGGCCGCACACAUUUUAGUUUUUCCUCCAACACGAAUACCAGUAGCAGAUUAGGUGUUUCGGACAGAUUCCCAAAUUAGAAAAAAACAGAACCAGCAUUUCGAGCAGCUUUGCUCUUCCUUCCAAUUUCAAUUAGAACAACUGGUCGACUUAGAUACAAAAACUUAACCCAGAUUACAUUAAUUCGCAACAAAUGGUGAAACCCUAGUUGCUGUACAGAUUUUUAAUCAAAAUGACUCAAAAAUAAGAAAAUCAAAUUAAUUAAAAAAAUAGAUCCCCAAAUGGAAAUGACGACGUACCGCU